rfam:Ictidomys tridecemlineatus contig086768, whole genome shotgun sequence.
GGAACCGGAGAGGAGGCAAGAUGCUGGCAUAGCUGUUGAGCUGAGAACCUGCUAUGCCAACAUAUUGCCAUCUUUCCUG